CUUCUCUCAGCUCCGCUUGAUCACACAGGCCUAGUGUGUGCUUGGCGUAUUUCCAGGGAGAGAGAGGAAGGCUCUCCUAAUGCACGACAGAAUGCCCACAGUGGCUUCUCUGUUCCUAGGAGUGCGACAUCU
rnacentral:snoRNA from 1 species